GUGGCGAGUGGCGAACGGGUGAGUAAUACAUCGGAACGUGUCCAGUAGUGGGGGAUAGCCCGGCGAAAGCCGGAUUAAUACCGCAUACGACCUAUGGGUGAAAGCGGGGGAUCGCAAGACCUCGCGCUAUUGGAGCGGCCGAUGUCAGAUUAGGUAGUUGGUGGGGUAAAGGCCUACCAAGCCUACGAUCUGUAGCUGGUCUGAGAGGACGACCAGCCACACUGGGACUGAGACACGGCCCAGACUCCUACGGGAGGCAGCAGUGGGGAAUUUUGGACAAUGGGGGCAACCCUGAUCCAGCCAUGCCGCGUGCGGGAAGAAGGCCUUCGGGUUGUAAACCGCUUUUGUCAGGGAAGAAAUCCUUUGGGUUAAUACCUCGGAGGGAUGACGGUACCUGAAGAAUAAGCACCGGCUAACUACGUGCCAGCAGCCGCGGUAAUACGUAGGGUGCAAGCGUUAAUCGGAAUUACUGGGCGUAAAGCGUGCGCAGGCGGUUAUGCAAGACAGAUGUGAAAUCCCCGGGCUCAACCUGGGAACUGCAUUUGUGACUGCAUAGCUAGAGUACGGUAGAGGGAGAUGGAAUUCCGCGUGUAGCAGUGAAAUGCGUAGAUAUGCGGAGGAACACCGAUGGCGAAGGCAGUCUCCUGGACCUGUACUGACGCUCAUGCACGAAAGCGUGGGGAGC
rnacentral:rRNA from 1 species